GACGAACGCUGGCGGCGUGCUUAACACAUGCAAGUCGAACGGAAAGGCCCUGCUUUUGUGGGGUGCUCGAGUGGCGAACGGGUGAGUAACACGUGAGUAACCUGCCCUUGACUUUGGGAUAACUUCAGGAAACUGGGGCUAAUACCGGAUAGGAGCUCCUGCUGCAUGGUGGGGGUUGGAAAGUUUCGGCGGUUGGGGAUGGACUCGCGGCUUAUCAGCUUGUUGGUGGGGUAGUGGCUUACCAAGGCUUUGACGGGUAGCCGGCCUGAGAGGGUGACCGGCCACAUUGGGACUGAGAGACGGCCCAGACUCCGACGGGGGGCAGCGGGGGGGAAUAUUGCAAAAGGGGGGGAAGCCUGAUGCAGAAACGCCGCGGGGGGGAUGCGGGCCUUGGGGUUGUAACCCGCUUUCCCCUGGGACGAAGGGGGGGUGACGGUAAUGGGGAAAGAAGCACCGGCUAACUACGU
rnacentral:rRNA from 1 species